ACGAACGCUGGCGGCGCGCCUAAUACAUGCAAGUCGAGCGAGAAGACGUAGCAAUACGUUUGUAAAGCGGCGAACGGGUGAGGAAUACAUGGGUAACCUACCCUCGAGUGGGGAAUAACUAGCCGAAAGGUUAGCUAACACCGCGUACGCUCCUUGGACUUCGGUUCAGGGAGGAAAGCGAUACCGUGGGUAUCGCGCUCUUGGAUGGGCUCAUGUCCUAUCAGCUUGUUGGGAGGUAACGGCUCACCAAGGCUUCGACGGGUAGCUGGUCUGAGAGGACGAUCAGCCACACUGGCACUGCGACACGGGCCAGACUCCUACGGGAGGCAGCAGUAAGGAAUAUUGCGCAAUGGGCGAAAGCCUGACGCAGCGACGCCGCGUGGGGGAUGAAGGUCUUC
rnacentral:rRNA from 1 species